rnacentral:rRNA from 1 species
AGAGUUUGAUCCUGGCUCAGGAUGAACGCUAGCUACAGGCCUAACACAUGCAAGUCGAGGGGCAGCGGGGGCAGAGCUUGCUUUGCCUGCCGGCGACCGGCGCACGGGUGCGUAACGCGUAUCGAACCUCCCCCAUACUCGGGAAUAGCCUUGCGAAAGUAAGAUUAAUGCCCGAUGGUCUCAGAAUAUGACAUCAUGCUUUGAGUAAAGAUUCAUCGGUAUGGGAUGGCGAUGCGUCUGAUUAGAUAGUUGGCGGGGUAACGGCCCACCAAGUCGUCGAUCAGUAGGGGUUCUGAGAGGAAGGUCCCCCACAUUGGAACUGAGACACGGUCCAAACUCCUACGGGAGGCAGCAGUGAGGAAUAUUGGUCAAUGGUCGGAAGACUGAACCAGCCAAGUAGCGUGAAGGAUGACUGCCCUACGGGUUGUAAACUUCUUUUAUGCGGGAAUAAAGUGCCCCACGCGUGGGGUAUUGCAUGUACCGCGUGAAUAAGCAUCGGCUAAUUCCGUGCCAGCAGCCGCGGUAAUACGGAAGAUGCGAGCGUUAUCCGGAUUUAUUGGGUUUAAAGGGUGCGCAGGCGGACCGCUAAGUCAGGGGUGAAAAGUUCGUGCUUAACAUGAAUCGUGCCUUUGAUACUGGCGGACUAGAGUGCGAUAGGCGUGGCCGGAAUGUGGUGUGUAGCGGUGAAAUGCUUAGAUAUGCCACAGAACACCGAUCGAGAAGUCAGGUCACGAGUUCGCAACUGACGCUCAUGCACGAAAGCGUGGGGGUCAAACAGGAUUAGAUACCCUGGUAGUCCACGCAGUAAACGAUGAUAACUUGUUGUCGGCGAUAGAGUGUCGGUGACAAAGCGAAAGCGAUAAGUUAUCCACCUGGGGAGUACGAUCGCAAGGUUGAAACUCAAAGGAAUUGACGGGGGCCCGCACAAGCGGAGGAGCAUGUGGUUUAAUUCGAUGAUACGCGAGGAACCUUACCUGGACUCAAAUGUUGAACGACCGGUCUAGAAAUAGACCUUCCCUUCGGGGCGUUUAGCAAGGUGCUGCAUGGUUGUCGUCAGCUCGUGCCGUGAGGUGUCAGGUUAAGUCCUAUAACGAGCGCAACCCCUACGUCCAGUUGCCAGCGGGUAAAGCCGGGGACUCUGGAGGGACUGCCGGCGCAAGCCGAGAGGAAGGUGGGGAUGACGUCAAAUCAGCACGGCCCUUACGUCCAGGGCGACACACGUGCUACAAUGGCCGGUACAGAGGGCAGCCACCUGGUGACAGGGAGCGAAUCUCGAAAGCCGGUCUCAGUUCGGAUCGGAGUCUGCAACUCGACUCCGUGAAGUUGGAUUCGCUAGUAAUCGCGCAUCAGCCAUGGCGCGGUGAAUACGUUCCCGGGCCUUGCACACACCGCCCGUCAAG